AUUGAACGCUGGCUGCAGGCCUAACACCUGCAAGUCGAACGAGUGGCGGACGGGUGAGUAAUGUCUGGGAAACUGCCUGAUGGAGGGGGAUAACUACUGGAAACGGUAGCUAAUACCGCAUACCAUCAGAUUUGCCCAGAUGGGAUUAUCUAGUUGGUGGGGUAACGGCUAACCAAGGCGACGAUCCCCAGCUGGUCUGAGAGGCUGACCAGCAACACUGGAACUAGGACACGGUCCAGACUCCAACGGGAGUCAGCAGUGGGGAAUAUUGCACAAUGGGGGCAAGACGGAUGCAGCAAUGCCGCGUGUAUGACGAAGGCCUUCGGGUUGUAAAGUACUUUCAGCGGGGAGGCGUUACCCGCAGAAGAAGCACCGGCUAACUCCGUGCCAGCAGCCGCGGUAAUUC
rnacentral:rRNA from 1 species